rnacentral:rRNA from 1 species
AUGGCUUCCCACCCGUCGCCGCCGCCGGAAUACCCUAGACCACCCGCUCGAACCACGAUAAGCGCCCUCGGCGACAACCAGCUCCGAGAGAUCUUCCUCCGCCUCCCGGACCUCCGCAGCCUCGCCUCUGCCGCCUUCACCUGCCGCGCCUUCCUCGGCGCCAUCUGCUCGUCGCGCGCCUUCCGCCGCCGCUUCCGCGAGCUCCACGCACCCCCGCUCAUCGCUCUCUUCCUCACACCCUGCAUGCACACGGUACCGGCCUUCCCCUCCUCACGGCGCCCCUCCGCCGGAUUCAGUCCCCUCCGAGACCACGCCGCCGCUUCCGAUUCCGAGUGGGGACUCGAUUUCCGCGACAUUGCCUACGACGACGGCUUCAUUUGCAUCGAAAAGCGGACCACCAAGCAGCAAGCUUUGUACAAUCCCCAAACAACUGCCCUGAUUCUCGGCCCCAAGGAGGACCACGACAUGCCCUACGGCAGCUCCCUUGAGUUCCACACACUCCCUCCCGAAGAGGAUCAGAGGCCGUCCCGUGUGGUCUGUGUCCGUCACGACUACUCGUGGGCUUGGGUACGCGUUGCUGUCCUCUCAUCCGACACCAUGGAGUGGCAGAUGUUCCCGGAGACUGCGAUGCCGCUGCCCGAGGGCUCCAUGCACGCAGCCAGCACGGUGGUGGAUGGGUUUAUCUGUUGGGAAUUCGUGUCCCUGAAUGAGGUAUCUCUCAGCGAGUACAUUUUGGUGCUCAACACGGAUACCUUUCAGUUCUCUCGAAUUGAUCUGCCGCCGUCCUUGAGAGUGGUAUACCCAAAAUUUAAGAUUGGUCAGACCAAGGAUCGGAACCUCUGCAUCGUCAUUUUUUUGUUCCGAUCUGCACAGCCGGUGAUGAUGGCGUCCAGAGAUUUGUGCUGCACAGUACGUUCCCGUUGCACGCUAGAUUUAUGGAGGUCACCAGCUGUUCAGUGGAAGAUAAAUUCUCUGUGCAGCUUAUGA